CAGGGACUGGGUGGGUGCCUGGCUGCCCACCGGCUCUCUGACCUGGACCUCGCCGUCGCUGGCCCCUGAAAUCCAUCACUUUAGUCAGCUGUUCUGUGACGCCACGACGAGGAGCCACCUGGGCUCUGCUGACCCUUCGGGAUUCGCGGCUAGCAGAGAUGUGUCCACCAAGAUCUCUUCUCUUGUCUGUAAACAACUUCACUCUCAAGGAGGCAGCUCUGGCCUCUCAGCAGGAGCUGGGGAUGAGUGACUGAAUAACCAUAGGAUUUGGUCUUGAUGGGAGAAUCCCAGAAGCCAAAUCCACGCGGUGAAUAAGCUGCUGAUCUUUCAGAGCACACAUCCGCUAGAGAUUCUUCCCAACGCUAAUAUGAAAGGUUACAACCAUAACCCAUCAUCAGGCCCAAAUAUAUUACUUACUGAAUACAUACACAAGUUACAAGCAACA